rnacentral:rRNA from 1 species
CCUAUAAGACGAAAAGACCCCAUGGAGCUUCAAACCCAACUACACCCUUAACUACCACAACCACACAACCUCUUAGGGCCCUGUAUAGUUGGUUUUAGGUUGGGGCGACCACGGAGUACAACCAAACCUCCGCAAUGAACGGGACCACUCCCUUAUCUAAGAGCCACACCUCUAAGAAUUAAAACACUAACAUAAAAUGAUCCAUGAUCUGAUCAAUGAACCAAGUUACCCUGGGGAUAACAGCGCAAUCCAUUUCAAGAGCCCCUAUCGACAAG